rnacentral:lncRNA from 1 species
CUUAUGCAACUCUCAAUAUAACUUUUGCCUCUAAAAUACUUAUAGCCUUAUGAAUAGCAGAAUAAAUUAUAGUAUUUUAGUUAAGUCAUACCAUUAUAUCCUAUAUGAUCAUAUCUAAAUAGUACUAUCUUUGUGGAUAGCACAACAAGACAGCACUAUCAAAAUAUGCUAUAAGCAUCACUAAGUCAACAUCAUAUCAAUUCCUAUAGCAAGCCUUGUGGAUAGCACAACAAACUCACUACAAUCUUUGACAUAUUCUAUUGACUUAGUAUGAGCUAAGUAACAUUAGCUUCAUUAUGCACCA